rnacentral:lncRNA from 1 species
AGCCUCUAGGUUACCCUCAUCCAUAGGAAUCACAUCUGCAUUCCUGUAACUGCAUAAGGAGAAAGAAGGUGGAAGCACUCUACUUUAGGCCAAGAAACAAUGACCACAGCAGCAAAACAUUGGUUUCAGAAAGAGUUUUCAUCGGAACCCUUGGUUCAAGUCCUAGAACUCACAGCUGAGGAUGCUAUGAAAACCCCUUGAGGAAACAAAGGCACCUUGGGGGCCAUUGAGAACUCCUGACGAAGAGGGCUCAGCUGCCAGACCUGCUCAAGAAAGACCUCAGAAAUCUCUAUGGGGCUGUCAGAAGAAAAGGUUUGAAAAGGGUCUGGAGAGACUGAAAUUUGUCUGCCUUGGACUUUUCUUUUGACAAUUCACAUCCAACUUAAGCAGAAUCAUUGUUUAUUCUUAUUAUGCCAGGUUUCCUUUUCUGGUCUGCAGGUUCUCUAGGGUUUCAUAGGCUAGUAGUUGGAAUUUUCAUAUUUCCAAAGCAUUGGGGAUUUUGCAAAAACAAAAUCUAAAGGAUAUUCAGCAGCACAGUUUACUUAGGAGGUUUUAAUCAUAAUAAUCUGCAUAAUGUAUGAGAAUUUCUACCUCAGCUGCCUCCUUUCUUUCUCUUUCGUGUCUGGGAAAAAGCCAGGGAUUUUUCCCUUCCUCUGAUUUAAAUACCUUAUAAAAUUUUGGUGGAAGCA